GUGAGGAAUAUUGGUCAAUGGACGAGAGUCUGAACCAGCCAAGUCGCGUGAAGGAAGACGGUUCUAUGAAUUGUAAACUUCUUUUGUGCAGGAAUAAAGUGGGUUACGUGUAACCUUUUGUAUGUACUGUACGAAUAAGGAUCGGCUAACUCCGUGCCAGCAGCCGCGGUAAUACGGAGGAUUCGAGCGUUAUCCGGAUUUAUUGGGUUUAAAGGGUGCGUAGGUGGAUUGAUAAGUCAGCGGUGAAAGUUUGCAGCUUAACUGUAAAAUUGCCGUUGAAACUGUCGGUCUUGAGUGCAAAUGAGGUAGGCGGAAUGUGUUGUAUAGCGGUGAAAUGCUUAGAUAUAACACAGAACUCCGAUUGCGAAGGCAGCUUACUGGGAUGCAACUGACACUGAUGCACGAAAGCGUGGGUAUCAAACAGGAUUAGAAACCCCAGUAGUCC
rnacentral:rRNA from 1 species